UGCCGUACUCCAGCAGAUUUGAGUGUCGCUGCUGUGGUCUUGAAUGUCUGCAGUAGUUUAUCUUCAGCCAAAGUGAUUUGUGCCAUUUUAUUUCCAAAAGAUAAAGGCAAGCACAAGGAAACCCACGUGUGAGUGUGUUUGU